AGAGUUUGAUUCUGGCUCAGGACGAACGCUGGCGGCGUGCUUAACACAUGCAAGUCGAACGAUGAAGCCUAGCUUGCUAGGUGGAUUAGUGGCGAACGGGUGAGUAAUACGUGAGUGACCUACCUUUGACUCUGGGAUAAGCCUGGGAAACUGGGUCUAAUACCGGAUACGACCAAUCUCCGCAUGGGGUGUUGGUGGAAAGCGUUAUGGAGUGGUUUUAGAUGGGCUCACGGCCUAUCAGCUUGUUGGUGAGGUAAUGGCUUACCAAGGCGACGACGGGUAGCCGGCCUGAGAGGGUGACCGGCCACACUGGGACUGAGACACGGCCCAGACUCCUACGGGAGGCAGCAGUGGGGAAUAUUGCACAAUGGGCGCAAGCCUGAUGCAGCGACGCCGCGUGAGGGAUGACGGCCUUCGGGUUGUAAACCUCUGUUAGCAGGGAAGAAGAGAGAUUGACGGUACCUGCAGAGAAAGCGCCGGCUAACUACGUGCCAGCAGCCGCGGUAAUACGUAGGGCGCGAGCGUUGUCCGGAAUUAUUGGGCGUAAAGAGCUUGUAGGCGGUUUGUCGCGUCUGCUGUGAAAGGCCGGAGCUUAACUCCGUGUAUUGCAGUGGGUACGGGCAGACUAGAGUGCAGUAGGGGAGACUGGAAUUCCUGGUGUAGCGGUGGAAUGCGCAGAUAUCAGGAGGAACACCGAUGGCGAAGGCAGGUCUCUGGGCUGUAACUGACGCUGAGAAGCGAAAGCAUGGGGAGCGAACAGGAUUAGAUACCCUGGUAGUCCAUGCCGUAAACGUUGGGCACUAGGUGUGGGGGACAUUCCACGUUUUCCGCGCCGUAGCUAACGCAUUAAGUGCCCCGCCUGGGGAGUACGGCCGCAAGGCUAAAACUCAAAGAAAUUGACGGGGGCCCGCACAAGCGGCGGAGCAUGCGGAUUAAUUCGAUGCAACGCGAAGAACCUUACCAAGGCUUGACAUAUACUGGACUGCGUCAGAGAUGGCGUUUCCCUUCGGGGCUGGUAUACAGGUGGUGCAUGGUUGUCGUCAGCUCGUGUCGUGAGAUGUUGGGUUAA
rnacentral:rRNA from 1 species